rnacentral:SRP_RNA from 2 species
GCCAGGCGUAGUGGUGUGCGCCUGUAAUCUCAGCUACUCGGGAGGCUGAGGCAGGAGAAUCGCUUGAGCCCAGGAGGCGGAGGUUGCAGUGAGCUGAGAUUGUGCCACUGUACUCCAGCCUAGGCGACAGAGUGAGACUCUGUCUCAA